rnacentral:rRNA from 1 species
UACGUAGGGGGCUAGCGUUGUCCGGAAUCAUUGGGCGUAAAGCGCGUGUAGGCGGUCCGGUAAGUCCGCUGUGAAAGUCGGGGGCUCAACCCUGGGAUGCCGGUCGAUACUGCCGGACUAGAGUUCGGAAGAGGCGAGUGGAAUUCCCGGUGUAGCGGUGAAAUGCGCAGAUAUCGGGAGGAACACCAAUGGCGAAGGCAGCUCGCUGGGACGUUACUGACGCUGAGACGCGAAAGCGUGGGGAGCAAACAGGG